UGUCCUCUGUCUCUCCCCCGUGGCAAGCGGUUCGGUUUCCAGAAGCAUGACUUCCCUUUUCUCCCCGUGCUCUUUCCAGCCAAGGCGACCAACAGAGUCAUCGAGACAGGAGACAUCGGGAGCCUGUGUGAGGGGCUGAAUGCCUGCAGCACCAUCUCUCAGCUCCAGUCCUCAUCCAAAAUCGCGAGGGUCUUUUGCAGCAGCUUCCCCCUGGAACACGCCGUGGACUUCAUGACGGCCAUCAGGGAGACCUUCCAGGAAGCCAAAGGGACGCGUCCGCGUGCUGCUGGGAAGUGGAUGAUCACCUUUCUGCAGAUGUAUGGAAAGGACAUCCACUGGGACGUGCCACCGAUCCUCUGCAUCCUGCGCAGCUGCGUGCGCUCCAUGCAGCAGAGCGUGUUCCUGCCCAUCCUGUGCCAGGCGGUGGUCAUCCUCACACGCUGUCACGCAGAGCUCGCGAUUGACAACUUCUUCCGGCUGCUUGAGCCCACAGACAGUGACACGUGGAGGAAAAGAAUAAGAGCAUUUUCUCUUCGAGAGGGGAGCCGGUAGAGGAAUGCAAAGAACAGCAAAGCCGAG
rnacentral:lncRNA from 1 species